UUCAUCAACAUGGAACUGCUUACUUUCCACUCCUUUUAUACCCAGCACAUGGCACCUCCAUCCCCACCCAACAUACACACACACACUUCACUGCCAACCAACCACUAUACCCAGCCUAAAACACACAUACUCACUCCACUGCCAUCACUGUUCAAUUUCGAAUAUUUUUGGAAACGAAUAUAUAGCGUUUUGGAAAAGAGCUUUUUAAAUUUUAAUGAUCUUCUUUGGCUUAAUUUUUCCAGAUUCCUGCUUGCCCAGUAACUCUGAUUGACUUCUCUUCAGCAAAGUCAAAAAAACGAAAGCUUGAGUGUUCCAUUGAUGGCUGCACAAGUACACAAAAGUUAUGGAUGCAAACAUGAAGCACAAGCCAGAGGAGCAUAUGAGAAGCUUAUGAGCCAGGAGCAUGCAGGCUUCUCAUGUAUGGACAGCGGUCUCUGGCUGAACCCCAAGUGGCCAUACAUGGGGUCCUCCCCUGAUGGGAUAGUCACUUGUGACUGUCAUGGAACUGGCAUCUGCGAGAUUAAGUGCCCACACUCUCAGAAAGAUGCGGUCAACCUGCGCAUGCGUGCUGGGGAGAAGGGCUUCUGCCUCAUCAGUGACGGGGAUAAUGUCACACUGGACCCAACUCAUGACUACUAUUACCAAAUUCAGGCACAGCUUCACAUUGCAAAUGCAGAGUACUGUGACUUUGUUGUGUGGAACCGCAAUGACAUAUUUGUUGAAAGGAUUUUGCCUGACCUUGAGUUUUGGGAUGAUGCGAUUCCUAAAGUUGAGUGUUUUUUUAGAAACAGUAUACUCCCAGAAAUACUGGGACAGCAAGUUACAAACAUACAUGUGUAAUGUGAUAAAAGGACGACAACAUAAUGACAUUUUGAAUAUUGUUAUGACCUGAUGGUAGUCAUUAUGAGUUCU